rnacentral:rRNA from 1 species
ACGGGGCUAAACCAUGCACCGAAGCUGCGGCAGCGACACUGUGUGUUGUUGGGUAGGGGAGCGUUCUGUAAGCCUGUGAAGGUGUGUCGUGAGGCAUGCUGGAGGUAUCAGAAGUGCGAAUGCUGACAUAAGUAACGAUAAAGCGGGUGAAAAGCCCGCUCGCCGGAAGACCAAGGGUUCCUGUCCAACGUUAAUCGGGGCAGGGUGAGUCGACCCCUAAGGCGAGGCCGAAAGGCGUAGUCGAUGGGAAACGGGUUAAUAUUCCCGUACUUGGUGUUACUGCGAAGGGGGGACGGAGAAGGCUAUGUUGGCCGGGCGACGGUUGUCCCGGUUUAAGCGUGUAGGUGUGUGUUCCAGGUAAAUCCGGUUCACUUUAACACUGAGGCGUGACGACGAGGCACUACGGUGCUGAAGCAACAAAUGCCCUGCUUCCAGGAAAAGCCUCUAAGCAUCAGGUAACAUCAAAUCGUACCCCAAACCGACACAGGUGGUCAGGUAGAGAAUACCAAGGCGCUUGAGAGAACUCGGGUGAAGGAACUAGGCAAAAUGGUGCCGUAACUUCGGGAGAAGGCACGCUGACACGUAGGUGAAGUGAUUUACUCAUGGAGCUGAAGUCAGUCGAAGAUACCAGCUGGCUGCAACUGUUUAUUAAAAACACAGCACUGUGCAAACACGAAAGUGGACGUAUACGGUGUGACGCCUGCCCGGUGCCGGAAGGUUAAUUGAUGGGGUCAGCGCAAGCGAAGCUCCUGAUCGAAGCCCCGGUAAACGGCGGCCGUAACUAUAACGGUCCUAAGGUAGCGAAAUUCCUUGUCGGGUAAGUUCCGACCUGCACGAAUGGCGUAAUGAUGGCCAGGCUGUCUCCACCCGAGACUCAGUGAAAUUGAACUCGCUGUGAAGAUGCAGUGUACCCGCGGCAAGACGGAAAGACCCCGUGAACCUUUACUAUAGCUUGACACUGAACAUUGAGCCUUGAUGUGUAGGAUAGGUGGGAGGCUUUGAAGUGUGGACGCCAGUCUGCAUGGAGCCGACCUUGAAAUACCACCCUUUAAUGUUUGAUGUUCUAACGUGGACCCGUUACCCGGGUUGCGGACAGUGUCUGGUGGGUAGUUUGACUGGGGCGGUCUCCUCCUAAAGAGUAACGGAGGAGCACGAAGGUUGGCUAAUCCUGGUCGGACAUCAGGAGGUUAGUGCAAUGGCAUAAGCCAGCUUGACUGCGAGCGUGACGGCGCGAGCAGGUGCGAAAGCAGGUCAUAGUGAUCCGGUGGUUCUGAAUGGAAGGGCCAUCGCUCAACGGAUAAAAGGUACUCCGGGGAUAACAGGCUGAUACCGCCCAAGAGUUCAUAUCGACGGCGGUGUUUGGCACCUCGAUGUCGGCUCAUCACAUCCUGGGGCUGAAGUAGGUCCCAAGGGUAUGGCUGUUCGCCAUUUAAAGUGGUACGCGAGCUGGGUUUAGAACGUCGUGAGACAGUUCGGUCCCUAUCUGCCGUGGGCGCUGGAGAACUGAGGGGGGCUGCUCCUAGUACGAGAGGACCGGAGUGGACGCAUCACUGGUGUUCGGGUUGUCAUGCCAAUGGCACUGCCCGGUAGCUAAAUGCGGAAGAGAUAAGUGCUGAAAGCAUCUAAGCACGAAACUUGCCCCGA